UACGUAGGGUGCAAGCGUUGUCCGGAAUUAUUGGGCGUAAAGAGCUCGUAGGCGGUCUGUUGCGUCAGCUGUGAAAACCCGCAGCUCAACUGUGGGCUUGCAGCUGAUACGGGCAGGCUUGAGUUCGGUAGGGGAGACUGGAAUUCCUGGUGUAGCGGUGAAAUGCGCAGAUAUCAGGAGGAACACCGGUGGCGAAGGCGGGUCUCUGGGCCGAUACUGACGCUGAGGAGCGAAAGCGUGGGGAGCGAACAGG
rnacentral:rRNA from 1 species